AGUGAACGCUGGCGGCAGGCCUAAUACAUGCAAGUCGAACGGCAGCACAGUGGAGCUUGCUCCAUGGGUGGCGAGUGGCGGACGGGUGAGGAAUACAUGGGAAUCUGCCCAGUCGUGGGGGAUAACGUAGGGAAACUUACGCUAAUACCGCAUGCGCCCUUCGGGGGAAAGCCGGGGACCUUCGGGCCUGGCGCGAUUGGAUGAGCCCAUGUUGGAUUAGCUAGUUGGCGGGGUAAAGGCCCACCAAGGCGACGAUCGAUAGCUGGUCUGAGAGGAUGAUCAGCCACACUGGAACUGAGACACGGCCCAGACUCCUACGGGAGGUAGCAGUAGGGAAUAUUGGACAAUGGGCGCAAGCCUGAUCCAGCCAUGCCGCGUGAGUGAAGAAGGCCCUCGGGUUGUAAAGCUCUUUUGUCCGGGAAGAAAAGCAUCGGGCUAAUACCUCGGUGUUCUGACGGUACCGGAAGAAUAAGCACCGGCUAACUUCGUG
rnacentral:rRNA from 1 species